rnacentral:lncRNA from 1 species
CCAAACACAAUAAAGGACUAGACCACCAGCUAUAGUAAUUUGAAGCUAACGUGAUACUCGUUGUCUUCAACCACCGAAAAGAGAAAGGCUUAAUCUUGUCCAACAAAAGUUGAGGUGUGCCUGUUGAGCCUUUGAACAAACGAUGAUUUCUUUCUGUCCAUAUCACCCAUACACAAGUAAGCCAAAUAAGCUGCAAAAAGGACCGACGCGCUCGAGAUCCACCUGCUGAAGCUAUAAACUGGACAAAAUGAUC